rnacentral:rRNA from 1 species
GACGAACGCUGGCGGCGUGCCUAAUACAUGCAAGUCGAGCGAAGCGGGGACGGGUGAGUAACACGUGGAUAACCUCCUAUAAGACUGGGAUAACUUUGGGAAACCGGGGCUAAACCGGAUACUUACAAUUGGAGCGGAGCUGCAUUAGCUAGUUGGUAAGGUAACGGCUUACCAAGGCAACGAUGCAUAGCAGACCUGCGAGGGGUAUCUGCCACACUGGAACGGAGACACGGUCCAGACUCCUACGGGAGGCAGCAGUGGGGAAUCUUCCGCAAUGGGCGAAAGCCUGACGGAGCAACGCCGCGUGAGUGAUGAAGGUCUUCGGAUCGUAAAACUCUGUUAUUAGGGAAGCGGUACCUAAUCAGAAAGCCACGGCUAACUACGUGCCAGCAGCCGCGGUAAUUC